rnacentral:rRNA from 1 species
CCUACGGGUGGCUGCAGUGAGGAAUAUUGGUCAAUGGACGAGAGUCUGAACCAGCCAAGUAGCGUGAAGGAUGACUGCCCUCUGGGUUGUAAACUUCUUUUAUAUGGGAAUAAAAUGUUCCACGUGUGGGUUUUUGUAUGUACUAUAUGAAUAAGGAUCGGCUAACUCCGUGCCAGCAGCCGCGGUAAUACGGAGGAUCCGAGCGUUAUCCGGAUUUCUUGGGUUUAAAGGGCGCGUAGGCGGGUUGUUAAGUCAGUUGUGAAAGUUUGCGGCUCAACCAUAGAAUUGCAGUUGAAGCUGGCAGUCUUGAGUACGGUAGAGGUGGGCGGAAUUCGUGGUGUAGCGGUAAAAUGCUUAGAUAUCACGAAGAACUCCGAUUGCGAAGGCAGCUCGCUGGACUGCAACUGACACUGAGGCUCGAAAGUGUGGGUAUCAAACAGGAUUAGAUACCCGAGUAGUC